rnacentral:rRNA from 1 species
AACGAACGCUGGCGGCGUGCCUAACACAUGCAAGUCGGACGAGAAAGGGGUUUCGGCCCUGAGUAAAGUGGCGCACGGGUGAGUAACACGUAGGUAACCUGCCUUUAAGAUCGGGAUAACCCGUCGAAAGACGAGCUAAUACCGGAUAAGACCACGGUUUCUGCGGGGACUGGGGUCAAAGCUAGCCUCUGUAAACAAGCAAGCGCUUAGAGAUGGGCCUGCGCACCAUUAGCUAGUUGGUAGGGUAACGGCCUACCAAGGCGAAGAUGGUUAGCUGGUCUGAGAGGAUGAUCAGCCACACUGGAACUGAGACACGGUCCAGACUCCUACGGGAGGCAGCAGUGGGGAAUAUUGCGCAAUGGGCGAAAGCCUGACGCAGCAACGCCGCGUGAGUGAUGAAGGCCUUCGGGUCGUAAAGCUCUGUCGGGGGAACGAAAGACCUUGGGUGAAUAGCCCUGAGGGUGACGGUACCCUCAAAGGAAGCACCGGCUAACUCUGUGCCAGCAGCCGAC